UACGGGGGGGGCAAGCGUUGUUCGGAAUUACUGGGCGUAAAGGGCUCGUAGGUGGCCAACUAAGUCAGACGUGAAAUCCCUCGGCUUAACCGGGGAACUGCGCUCAAAACUGCGUCGCUUGAGGGAGAUAGAGGUGAGUGGAACUUAGGGUGGAGCGGUGAAAUGCGUUGAUAUCCUAAGGAACACCAGUGGCGAAAGCGACUCACUGGGUCUCUUCUGACGCUGAGGCACGAAAGCUAGGGUAGCGAACGGG
rnacentral:rRNA from 1 species